CAGUAGCCGCGGGAAUACGAAGGGUGCAAGCGUUAAUCGGAAUUACUGGGCGUAAAGCGUGCGUAGGCGGUUUGUUAAGUCUGUUGUGAAAUCCCCGGGCUCAACCUGGGAAUGGCAAUGGAUACUGGCAAGCUAGAGUGUGUCAGAGGAUGGUGGAAUUCCCGGUGUAGCGGUGAAAUGCGUAGAUAUCGAGAGGAACACCGGUGGCGAAGGCGGCCAACUGGGACAACACUGACGCUGAGGCACGAAAGCGUGGGGAGCAAACAGGAUUAGAGACCCCCGUAGUCCCUGUCUCUUAUAC
rnacentral:rRNA from 1 species